rnacentral:piRNA from 1 species
UGCGACAGUGAUACUAUCAACUAAGCCAAC